UCCGGUUUGUCACCGGCAGUCUCCCUAGAGUUCCCACCAUCACGUGCUGGCAACUAGGGACAAGGGUUGCGCUCGUUACGGGACUUAACCCAACAUCUCACGACACGAGCUGACGACAGCCAUGCAGCACCUGUCACUCAGUUCCCGAAGGCACCAAUCCAUCUCUGGAAAGUUCUGAGGAUGUCAAGCCCUGGUAAGGUUCUUCGCGUUGCUUCGAGUUAAACCACAUGCUCCACCGCUUGUGCGGGCCCCCGUCAAUUCAUUUGAGUUUUAACCUUGCGGCCGUACUCCCCAGGCGGUCUACUUAUUGCGUUAACUGCGUCACAAAUCCCUCAAGGAGACCUACGACUAGUAGACAUCGUUUACGGCGUGGACUAC
rnacentral:misc_RNA from 1 species